rnacentral:rRNA from 1 species
AAUAGAUACCCGGGUAGUCCACGCCCUAAACGAUGUCGACUGGUUGUUGGGGGUUUGACACUCUCAGUAACGAAGCUAACGCGUGAAGUCGACCGCCUGGGGAGUACGGCCGCAAGGUUAAAACUCAAAGGAAUUGACGGGGACCCGCACAAGCGGUGGAUUAUGUGGAUUAAUUCGAUGCAACGCGAAAAACCUUACCUACCCUUGACAUGUCCUGAAUCCCGCUGAGAGGUGGGAGUGCCCGAAAGGGAACGGGAACACAGGUGCUGCAUGGCUGUCGUCAGCUCGUGUCGUGAGAUGUUGGGUUAAGUCCCGCAACGAGCGCAACCCUUGUCAUUAGUUGCUACGAAAGGGCACUCUAAUGAGACUGCCGGUGACAAACCGGAGGAAGGUGGGGAUGACGUCAAGUCCUCAUGGCCCUUAUGGGUAGGGCUUCACACGUCAUACAAUGGUGCAUACAGAGGGUUGCCAACCCGCGAGGGGGAGCCAAUCCCAGAAAGUGCAUCGUAGUCCGGAUUGCAGUCUGCAACUCGA